UACGAAGGGUGCAAGCGUUAUUCGGAAUAACUGGGUGUAAAGAGCGUGCAGGCGGCCUGCCAAGUCGAUCGUCAAAGCGCCCAGCUUAACUGGGCAAAGGCGAGCGAAACUGGUUGGCUAGAGUGUGGGAGAGGGGGGUGGAAUUCCGCGUGUAGCAGUGAAAUGCGUAGAGAUGCGGAGGAACACCGAUGGCGAAGGCAGCCCCCUGGGCUGACACUGACGCUCAGGCACGAAAGCGUGGGGAGCAAACAGG
rnacentral:rRNA from 1 species